UAUCUGACCAUGCUAUACAAGUUGGCAGUGAGAAUAUUUUAGUGAUUCAGAUGCAGCCAGAAAUCUCUUCAGAAGGACAUCUUCCUCUCCUGCUCGUUCUCCGUUCAUGCACUUGAGGAGAAGUACAUGGUUCCUGGGUACAGCUGACAAACACCUACAAGCACCCAUGAACAUGAACAGGGAGAAGAUGAUCUGCAGCAUCCUGCUGCUCAUCAUCCUGACCUCCUGUGUCUCUGGAACAUUUGUAGUGAAAGUGACCCAGACCUCCUAUCAGGCAGAGGAGAACCACCACAUCACAC